UACGGGGGGAGCAAGCGUUGUUCGGAUUUACUGGGCGUAAAGGGCGCGUAGGCGGUCAGCACAAGUCAGUUGUGAAAUCUCCGGGCUUAACCCGGAAAGGUCAACUGAUACUGUGCGACUAGAGUGCGGAAGGGGCAACUGGAAUUCUCGGUGUAGCGGUGAAAUGCGUAGAUAUCGAGAGGAACACCUGCGGCGAAGGCGGGUUGCUGGGCUGACACUGACGCUGACAGCGCGAAAGCUAGGGGAGCGAACGGG
rnacentral:rRNA from 1 species